AGUCCUGACCAAUCGUGCACAGAGGGUAAGAUCUGUGACUGAUUUCGCAAUCGAGUCACAAGAGAAAAAGCAGAGUGUUCAGGCUGCAGAUCUCAGACUGAAUAUAUGAGGACCUGAGGACUAGAGCACCUGAGGACAAGGUAAACCUGAGCUUUAUUUUACAGGUAGACCUAAACUCCAGACUAAGUGAAUGUAAACUCUUAAUUUUCUUUGAAAACUGUGCUUUUGUGCUGUUAGGUUAUUAUUAUUAUUCUUUUUUUUUUACGUUUCUCUCGGUAAAUAGUUGUUUCAAGCUUUUUUUCAGUCUGAUCUGUAAUAUCCAUGUGCAGUAGAAACAUCUGCCAUCUUUAUAAUUUAUCUUAUUUUGAAACCCUUAGGUCUGAAUAAGUUGCUUUCUUGUUACACACUUUUGCAAAGGGAGCUUUACUGCUUUUCCAACCAUUAAAUAAUUAUCCUCUUUCAAAAUAAAAGCCUGAUGACAUUGAUUACUUUCAGAAACCAAAAAACUUACUGUAUAAACCUGCAGUAGCUGAAUUUACCUCCACUCUGGUGUGAGACGACAGUAUAGACUUAAGAAAAGAGUGGAAAAAAAAACAAAGUCUCAAAGAUUCUUUUGUUGUUUUUAUCAUUUUGAGAUAAAAACAUAUUUGUACUUAACGAUCUAAUCUUUGAAUUUCAGCCGGAAAAAUGAGAGCUGCAGUGUGUGUAACCCUCCUCCUGCUCAGUCUGUAUCAAGGUACGUGCGUUUUUAUUCUCUUUACAGACACAAACUGAGAACUUUGUUAAAAUAAAUUCAAAACUACAGGAGAAAAGGCACACUUUGCAUGUGUGACUAAAUGUAAAGAUGUGUUACUAAUCAAGUGUUUUAAUGUGUGUGCGUGUGUGUAUGUGUGUGUUUGUCCAGGUGAGGCCCUGAGGUGUAACUACUGUUUCUCGAAGGACAGUGAGCUCUGCAAUCCCACCGGCAUCCAGAACUGCCCAAGAACUGCAGACGCCUGCGCUGACGUCAUUUUCCAGGCCCCACUCAGUAAGCCCCUCCAAUAAAAAAACAAAUGUCAACAUUUUUAUCCAGCUCAUUUUGUGGGCAUGUAAAAUAUUUCAUGUAAUUUAGAUUUUAUUCUUUUAUUUCUGCCGACCUGCCGCUGAUUUUGAAGCAGGAGCCAAGUUCAAGUUAAAGAAUGAUCUCUUUUUUUUCAGUCCUCGUGUUGAGACAUUUCUCAGAUGUUCUUUUAAUUUUACUUGUAGGAACUCAGAGUAUAUCCUCAUACCUACAGACAUAGUGUGAGUUAAAAAUAAUUCAGUGUAAGAUUCAGAAUGCAGAAUGGAAAACGUGGACAUCUUGUUUUUUUUUCAGUGCAGUGCAAUUGGUCAGUUAAACGUUUUCUCUUACUAUAUUAAAGCUAUGGUCUACGAUCUGAAAACCAGUUUGGCUGUUGAGACAGAUUUGAAAAACACAGCCUGCCCCCCCUUCACUCACCCCUCCCCUCUGUGUUCCAAGAUCCCACCCCCCCAGCUCGUGUCGCCUCCUAACAACACGCCCUCUGAUAGAGCAAGAAGCCGGCUGGCUAAAAAUAUCAGCAGUUGUACACAUUGGUAGCCAUUUCAACUGGACCAGCGGGAUCAAAACCAUAUAUUAGCGGGGUGAAGCGGGUCUGGCGUUGCCACUGCUAGCCGGUCAGAGCAGAGCCGAUUGUGGGCAAGGCUUUACCUGUCUUGGCGUGUCUUCACCAGCUCAGUUUACAAUGCUAAAGAUGCGUGGCUAACUUAUGCUAAAAUCAAUUGACAGAGCCUACCAGUUCCGACCAACAACAUUCAGUCAUUAGCCAGUAUCGGCACAGACUAACCAGAGUUAUUCAGCAGACAUCUCCCACUGUAGUAAACAAAGUAAUUAUCUGUUCAACAGAAAUUCGUCUGUCUUGUGUCAGUUUUCAGUCCCAAAUCCUUCUGCAGCUUUUUCCACCGGUCGUACGUUUCUCCAGUGUAGACUCUCUGUUAGCACCUGUAUCGCUAAUAUUUCUUCCUUACUUCAGCCUUUUCCUCAAAAUUUUUACGUUUCCUUUCCUUCGAUGUGGAGGGUAACAGAAGCGGCCUCCUGGUUUCUGUGUUUGUCUUCUCCGACUCCAUUACGCUUCAGUAGCUGUGCAGCUAGCUAAUCACAUGUACGUAAGGUGGUAGUGGGGAGUGAGGCGGGACCAUGGGCUGGACGGUGCGGAGUCACGAACUCGGAUUUGUCGAUUAUUAUGCCUUUUUGCAGCGGAUAUACUGAAUGGAUUUUUUUCGUUCUUUUUGAUCUUUAUAUUGCGUAGAUCGGACCAUAGGACCAUAACAGCCUUAUAAACCGUGUUAUUAUGAAGUACCAAGCUUCCAAAUGUAGGACCAUAGCUUUAUUUCCACCCUAAUUCAAACAGGCCACAACCAUCCUGAUGAUGUCAAACUGAUAAAAUCACAACGUUUUUACUCAGCAGUUGAUUUUGCACCUCUGAAAUCAUUCCCACAUAACCUGAACUCACCCUGACCCCCUGCGGACUUUAUUUAAAAGUCACAGUUUAACAUCAUACCUGUCUGUUUCCUCUCUCAGGGGGUCAGUCUUUCCGAUCCUGCAUGAACAUGGCGGUGUGUCAGGGUUACAUCAAAACGCCCGGCAUCUUCGCCAGCUGCUGCAGCACCGACCUCUGCAACUAACACUCCACCUUCCUCCCAGUCCAGCAGAGGACCACCUGAUCUGAGCUCUGCGCAAACAUGUUCUGCUACACCGCUGCCAUGCAAAUAAAAGUCUGUUUGACUACUUUAUAUGAGGAGAGGAGUGAGUUUGUGAGCGGCUUUAAUCAUUUGUUUAAGGUCAAAUUUAAAUCAGGGAGCAGCAGUACCGCUGAGCGACACUAGAGAGCAGUAGAGCGCCGUGGGAUGAAUCUAGCUGUAUCCUCAGUGUGUUUUUAAAGAGCAUUAUUAAAAGACAAAUAAAGAAUUGGAGUGACAUUUUGCUAUCAGA